ACUUUACACACAAAAAAGCAAUUUACUUAGCCAGUCAUUUUCUAGAUUUGCUCAGCAAUUAUUUCGGCUCUUUGUGUUUUAAGUGAGUGUUUUUUCUGUCCCUGUCCAGUGUCUUUCUGCUUCAUCAGAUAGGGAAGCCUCGGCAGCAUUUUCCCUCCAGAGAGCUGAGCCCUCACGGCCACAGAGGCUGGGGGACGAGGCGGGCAGAGCAGGGGCAGUGGCUUAGCGAAAGCCAGAGUUGCAGGUCCAGAGGGUUGCUGAGGCUCUCGGGCGGUGACUACAAAAUGUGGACCAAGCAGCAGAAUCACCUGGAUGGCAUGCACUCUACUUCCCAUGUGAUGACGUCACUGAGCAAAGCUGGGAACAGAAGUGGCCCCUAGGCGCCUGUGAGCUGGGAAGGGAAGAGAAGCUUGGAGAACUAUUACACUUGGCCUCAAUCUCGUAUUGAUCACGGAGCCAGGAUCUGACCCUAAAUCUUGCUGAUUCCAGAGACCUUAUGAAGAAUACACACGUCAAGGUUUGCAGUUGGUUCCCUUCUUUUCCUCAUCGCUUUGUGGGAGGAUCGAGUCACAUUACA